UACAGGUCUACUAUUCGCCAGUGCGGACUGG
rnacentral:piRNA from 1 species